rnacentral:rRNA from 1 species
GAAUUUUGGACAAUGGGCGAAAGCCUGAUCCAGCCAUGCCGCGUGUGUGAAGAAGGUCUUCGGAUUGUAAAGCACUUUAAGUUGGGAGGAAGGGCAUUAACCUAAUACGUUAGUGUUUUGACGUUACCGACAGCAUACGCACCGGCUAACUCUGUGCCUGCAGCCGCGGUAAUACAGAGGGUGGAAGCGUUAAUCGGAAUUACUGGGCGUAAAGCGCGCGUAGGUGGUUUGUUAAGUUUGAUGUGAAAGCCCCGGGCUCAACCUGGGAACUGCAUCCAAAACUGGCAAGCUAGAGUACAGUAGAGGGUGGUGGAAUUUCCUGUGUAGCGGUGAAAUGCGUAGAUAUAGGAAGGAACACCAGUGGCGAAGGCGACCACCUGGACUGAUACUGACACUGAGGUGCGAAAGCGUGGGGAGCAAACAGG